GAUGAACGCUGGCGGCGUGCCUAAUACAUGCAAGUCGAACGCACAGCGAAAGGUGCUUGCACCUUUCAAGUGAGUGGCGAACGGGUGAGUAACACGUGGAUAACCUACCUCAAGGUUGGGGAUAACAUUUGGAAACAGAUGCUAAUACCGAAUAAAACUUCGUAUCGCAUGAUACAAGGUUAAAAGGCGCUACGGCGUCACCUAGAGAUGGAUCCGCGGUGCAUUAGUUAGUUGGUGGGUAAAGGCUACCAAGACAAUGAUGCAUAGCCGAGUUGAGAGACUGAUCGGCCACAUUGGGACUGAGACACGGCCCAAACUCCUACGGGAGGCUGCA
rnacentral:rRNA from 1 species